rnacentral:lncRNA from 1 species
CUAUUGUCUUCUGCCAGUGCCCCUGCUAAUCGCUGAGAAAACUCCCCUGAGCCACAUGCAACGAUGAAGUUAAUGUGGGUAAGUCUCAUCCAAUCCUUUGAAGGCCUGAAGAACAAAGAGUGAGGUUUCUGGAAGAAGAAAAUUUUACCUCAAGCCUGCAAUGUAGAAAUUCUGCUUGAGUUUCCCGCCUGCUGGCCUGCCCUGUGGAAUUCGGAGUCAAGAAGGAGUCUUGUAAGCAUUAACUGAGAUAGUAUAUGAAGAGUGCUUUUGCACCGAGUGAACCUUCAAUCAACUGUACUAGUUUGUAUGCCUGGAAGAGCUGCUAUAUGGGAUCAGAAAGAAAAAUAAGGUGCAUACGCCAGAAAAAAAAUACUUGCAUAUGAGUACUAGGAGAUGCAUGACAAUGUUCACGGCAGCAGUAUUCAUGGCAGUGAAAAAUGAAAAGAACUGAAAUGCCCAUUGAUAAAAACGUCUACUUAUUUGUGUCAUCUUUGCACAGUGGAAUUGUGCGAGUGGAAAUGAUUGAUCUACAGCUAGGAGAAGCAGCAGAGCUCAAUCUCAAAAACAUAACGUUGUGUGGAAAAAGCUAACCUCAGAACACUUUGCGGCUCUAUCUUAGCAAACCAGGAGAGAAAUUCUCCUGAUGGCCUUGAAGAAGCAAACAGCCACCUGGUUAAGCCCCUGUGGAUAGUGCCAAGUGGCAGGAAAGUGGGAGCCACCUCUAGGACCUGAGGAUUAAAGUCAGUAAGAGCUGGGACCUCACUCAUGCAGACUCGAGGACAUGAAUUCGACCAACAACUUGAAUGAGCUUGGAAGUGGAUUCUUCCCUAGUCCAGUCUUCAGAAAUUAAGAAUGUUCCCAAAGAAUGAUGGAGACAUUUCAAAAGGAUACGGAAGCCAGAUUGUGGGCGCUUCUACUGGCCAACUCUGGGACAUCGUGGACAUCAAAAUAAAUUUGUAAUAAUAAAGGAUUAUAGCCUAUUAGUUAAAUCAGAAAAAUCUGAUUUAACUAAAUGAGUAGGAGGAAAAGAAAGCUCUUCCUUAUAUUAGAAAGUCAAUUAAUAAAUGCAGAAAGGAAUGAAAAAAUUAGAAAAGCCACCAUUUGGCAACCAUGGCAGGCAGAAUGGGGAGUAUGCCUCCAGACAGUAAUUCCUUUCAAACUGGUUUAUAGGAACUCACUGAGCUUGCUGAUCGACCUCUGAGAGGCAAAGUUUCUGAAUUAUGAAGUACUGAUUAUAUAAACUUAGACAGAGACAUGCUUCAUUAUUUAAUAGGACUGUGUCAAAAGCCUACUAUUAGGAUGAUGUGUUGGGUGUGGAACAGGGUCUCUUCCUGCCAGGAACACUGGUGAUUUCACUCCGUGUUCAGGCUGAUCUUUGAAGUUGAAGACAAGCAGAAGAAUCCUUCUAAAAUUUAGCCAUGCCCAUAGGCUGGGAGGGACACUGCUCCAUUCAGAGGCAGCAAAGCACAUUACUGUAUCUCCUAUAGAGCUUUGAGCAGUCCAGUGUACAUGGAGAAACUUAGUAAAUGUUGUUGAAUUAGUGAAUGAACAAAUCAAUGGACCAAGUCAGGGGUAAGUCUUACAUUUGUCAUCUAGGUGAUUAAGAAAGGAAAAAGUAUCUGUUUCAAGAGGAUUACAAUCUAACUGUACUCCAAUAGUAAAAUUUACUCUUUUGGAAUCUGAAGACAUUCAUGAGUCUUUGCAUCUUAUUUCCUGAAUUCUAACUUCCCUUGCCUUUAUGAAUGACAAAGAAGAUGCAUACAACCUUUGUAAAUGCUUGCUGAAUUUGAACAUUAUGUUGCUUUGUGAUUGCCUCCACUUGGGAUUCCAAAUGACAUCAUGUGGAUUCACUGGAGGCCUCGGGUAGCUGGGGAACUGAGGGGAUAAGAUGCACACAUGGUACACAAGCACACGUACACCAACAACGUAAAUAGACACGUAACUAGAAACAGCUGUGCAGAGCCAUUUAGUAAAAGGUUGAGUAGCUGGAACCAUCAGGAGUGCGUGGGAAUGAGUUCAAGCUCCCCCCAUGAGGCCUUCCUAAGGCUUUGCAGGAGGGCAAGAACAAGGUCUGGGAAGUGGGGAAAUGGGAUGGCUCAGUCUGUCCUUAGCAUCUCGAUCCUGGCUGACUCUCCACCACUCCUCACCCUUGCAAGAUUACACACUUUGAUUUAUGUGACAUUUAGGCAGAAAGCAGCCUAGAGCACUCUGGGGGUAUUAACCCAGAAGACAUACAAAUCAGAUUGGACCAAAGGGGAAAGAAGCCUCAGACAUCCGCAGGGGAAUAAGAAGGAUAUUGUAUGCUACUUGACCUGAUCUCUUUCCUACUCAGGAAAGUCAGUAGAUAAAUAAUAAAAUUGAUAGUGCAUGGAGAGUUGAGAGGCAAGACUUGCAGCAUUGAAGUCUGAAUUUCUGUCCUGAAUAUGAUAUUUGUACUCCCCCCAACUCCCUGGUCUCCAAAGGAAUCUGGUCUGUCACUAAACAGCAUCUUCUCAAUCUCCUCCAUGUCAUAAAGUGGGAGAGUGGGGGUAGUGGAAAAGGCAUGUCUUUAUUUUGAAGAUGAGAAAUUUACAUUCUUUUUCGUUAAAAUAAUCAUUUCUAAGGGGUAAUAUAUUGUAGGAUCAGAGAUUUCUAGGACUGGAAGGAUCUUUUAGAAACCGUAGAACCUAAGCCCCUUAUUAUACAGAGGAGAAAUCUGAAACAUGGAAAAAGAGAAUUUGCCUGAUGUCUCAGAAAGACUAAGCAGCAUUGGCUCUAUGAACAAGAGCUAAAAAUCCCAAUUCCAAUACUACAAAGAUGAAAUGGUACACAAAACUUUACAAUCUACACAACUGAAUCAUCUUUCUUUCUCAUUACACUUUGGUUGUCAUCCAAAAAUAUAUAGCUUGAUCACUCACCUUAGUCAUCUGAAACACCUGAGCCAAAUCCAAUUCCCGUGCAGCUGCCACGCAAGGUUAUGCCUCUGUCCAGUGGCCUCUGUGUUGCCAAGACUCUGUGGAUUUGACAACAGGAAUUUAGGUGGAGUUUUGAACAAUGGUGUCAUGGUUGGAACAGGCAUGCAAUUCCUAAAAUUUAUGAGUUGUGAUUGUGUGUGAUAGUGGUUUAAGUUUGGAGUUUGAAUAUUGGCUCUUCCACUUUAUAGCAGAGUGAAUUUGGACCAGAUGCUUACAGCCUACCUCAUGAGAUUAAAUGAGAUAAUAUGUGUAAAGCAUUGAGUAUAGCAUCUGCAUUAAAAUAACCACCAUUUGUGUAAAAUGUAUUAAUACCAUCUUAUCACUUCUGUUUCUAGAAUAAGUCUAAGCCAAUAUUUUUGUAAGUUUGUUUUGUUUUGUUUUGUUUGACAUGGAGUCUCACUCUGUUGCCAGGCUGGAGUGCAGUGGUGCAAACUCAGCUCACUGCAACCUCCGACUCCGAGGUUCAAGUGAUUCUCCUGCCUCAGCCUCCCGAGUAGCUGGGACUACAGGUGCCUGCCACCACGCCCAGCUAGUUUUUGUAUUUUUAGUAGAGAUGGGGUUUCACCAUGUUGGCCAGGGUGGUCUCCAUCUCUUGACCUCAUGAUCCCGCCUGCCUCGGCCUCCCAAAGUGCUGGGAUUACAGGCAUGAGCCACCGCCGCUGGCCUAUUUUUGUAACUUUUAGAGGCCAAUAUGCAUGGGAGUUUGCCUUCUCUUGCUGCCCUUAGGUCUUCUGCCACCAAAGCAUGGGAAGAAAGUUAAGCUGGCUUACUGGAGAAUAAGAGACACAAAGUCCUAUGUCCCACAUUACCCUGACUGACAACUAAGCAAUUGCUAGACUGUGUGAGUGGGACCAUCCUAAGUCAUCCAGCCCCCUGCAGACUCUCCAGCUGUCUGCAAAUGCAUAAGCAAGUGGGGGAAUGAUCAGUUGAGAAGUCCUAAACCAGAAGAACUACUCAGCUGACCCAAAGGAUUGUCAAUUAAAUAAACAGUGAUUGAUUUAACCCAUCAGUUUUUGGGGAAGGUUGUUAACCAGCCAAAACUAACGGAUGCAGUGUCCUAUGUGUUCAUGUCCUGAAUGAAUGAGAGAUGAUAUAUGUAAGGAAGAGGCCAAGAACCAUCCACCAGCAGGAUUCUUCUUUCAGCAGAGAAGAUGGUUUUGCAUGGAGUUAUCCCCACCCUCUCCCUUGGCGCUUCCUUUCUGGGGAAGAGUGAAAUUUGUGACCCCUGAAAGGAGACUGCUGGCUGGGUGUGGUGGGAGACCGGGAUAUGACCUGGCCUCAUUAACACCAUGCACCCUAACUAGCUGGGCCAAUCAGUCUGUCUCUGUCCUCCUGGAAACUCUUACCACCCACUGUCUCCCAGACUACAGCACCCCACCCACCAAUCCUCCCUUCGAAACAAAGAUGCAUGCAAGCACGUAGUGGAAAUGCCGGGCCAGAAGCCUGCCUCCAAGACUCUGUUGGGGUUCCAGGAGGCAGAAAUGCCAAGUUGGAUUCACAGGUGCCAGGAAGGCCUUACUCCUGGGCACAACAGACUGCCAUAAGGUGGCUCCAGGAAGAGAAACUCCACGUAGUCCUUCAGAAACUCAUUCUCACCUUUCCAAUCCUUUCUAUGAAAAAGGUUCUUAUUCAUGUUACUUUAACCUAUUUUCUUUCUUUCUUUUUUUUUUUUUUUUUUGAGAUAGAGUCUCGCUCUGUCCCCAGACUGGAGUACAGUGGCACGAUCUCAGCUCACUGCAACCUCUGACUCCCUGGUUCAAGUGAUUCUCCUGCCUCAGCCUCCUGAGUAGCUGGAAUUACAGGCAUGUGCCACCACGCCCAGCUAAUUUUUGUAUUUUUAGUAGAGACAGGGUUUCACCAUGUUGGUCAGGAUGGUCUCGAUCUCCUGACCUCAAGAUCUCCCUGCCUUGGCCUCCCAAAGUGCUGGGAUUACAGGCAUGAGCCACCAUGCCUGGCCUACCCAUUUUCUUUAUCUCAAUUCCAGGCCAUAUCAAGUGCCAAUUUUAUUAGCAUUUAAUAUUUCAAAGACAAGGAUGUCUUGUUUGGAAGACACCAUUCAAACCCUCCAGUCCUCUUCUUUGUAACAGCAUAUGAGGGUAAGAAGAGAACAAAAAAUUAUGUCCUCAGGUAGGUCAGUUUUACAUGGUUUUUGAUUCACUGUUGCACAUUCCAUCUAUGUCUACCUUUGUUUUUUGAAGACUCCCCAGCUCCUGGGCCCUUAAGAAAACAAUAUAUAUCAGGAUGGGUUUGGCAACCCUUCCAGAACCACCUUUUCUGCCCUAAUAUACUUAUGCCUCUUUACAUUUGUUUUCAGCUCUUUGGUCCUGAACACUCUCCUGCCAAUGGCCCUUUUGGCAUUAUCGACUUCAGCUUUCUAAUCUGGUUUUAUUCUCUGUUUAUCUCUCUGAUUUUAGCAUUUCCACUUGAACCAGAUGAGAACUCCUGCUCCAAAAUCAGUGUCCUAGCCUAUUAUUAAUGUCCUCAUUUCUACCAUUAGAUAAUCUUUGCUUUAAGUGAGGAGCCAGAAAACUUUUUCUAUAAAGAUCCAAAUAGUAAAUAUUUUAGUCUUAACAGGCCACAUAUAGUCUUCAUCGCAUGUUCUUUCUUCUUUUCUUUUUUAACAUUUAACAUAUAAACAUCAUUCUUUGCUUGAGAAUUGUGCAUAAGCAGGUGUGGGCUAGGUUUGGCUUGCAGGCUCAUGGCUUGCCUUUAAAUCAGAGUCUACUCUUUAAAACACAAUUCCUUUAAAGCAGAGUCUAUUCUUAAAACACAAAUAUUCCUGGAAAUAGUGAAUAACCAGCAACUCAGUAUGAAUUAGUUCAUUCUCCUUUCUAGUUCCAACUGGAUGGAA